rnacentral:rRNA from 1 species
GACGAACGCUGGCGGCGUGCUUAACACAUGCAAGUCGAACGGAAAGGCCCUGCUUUUGUGGGGUGCUCGAGUGGCGAACGGGUGAGUAACACGUGAGUAACCUGCCCUUGACUUUGGGAUAACUUCAGGAAACUGGGGCUAAUACCGGAUAGGAGCUCCUGCUGCAUGGUGUGGGUUGGAAAGUUUCGGCGGUUGGGGAUGGACUCGCGGCUUAUCAGCUUGUUGGUGGGGUAGUGGCUUACCAAGGCUUUGACGGGUAGCCGGCCUGAGAGGGUGACCGGGCAAAUUGGGACUGAGAUACGGACCAGACUGCUACGGGAGGCAGCAGUGGGGAAUAUUGCACAAUGGGAGGAAGGCUGAUGCAGAAACGCAGCGUGCGGGAUGACGGCCUUCGGGUUGUAAACAGCUUUCGCAUGUGACGAAGCGUGAGUGACGGUAAUGGGUAAAGAAGCACCGGCUAACUACGUG